CCCUUAGAUGUUCUGGGCUGCACGCGCGCUACACUGAUGCGUUCAACGAGUUUAUGACCUUGCCCGAUAGGGUUGGGUAAUCUUUUUAAAUCGCAUCGUGAUGGGGAUAGAUUAUUGCAAUUAUUAAUCUUCAACGAGGAAUUCCUAGUAAGCGCGAGUCAUCAGCUCGUGCUGAUUACGUCCCUGCCCUUUGUACACACCGCCCGUCGCUCCUACCGAUUGAGUGGUCCGGUGAAAUCUCGGGACGGCGGCUUGGUCGCUUGCGUCCGACUGCUGAAACUUGAUUAAACCAUAUCAUUUAGAGGAAGGUGAAGUCGUAACA
rnacentral:rRNA from 1 species